rnacentral:rRNA from 1 species
AUACGGAGGGUGCAAACGUUGUUCGGAAUCACUGGGCGUAAAGGGCGCGCAGGCGGUUUGAUUAGUCAGAUGUGAAAGCCCACGGCUUAACCGUGGAAGUGCAUUUGAAACUGUCAGACUUGAGUACUAGAGGGGAAGGUGGAAUUCCCGGUGUAGAGGUGAAAUUCGUAGAUAUCGGGAGGAAUACCGGUGGCGAAGGCGACUUUCUGGCUAGAUACUGACGCUGAGGCGCGAAAGCGUGGGGAGCAAACAGGAUUAGAAACCCCAGUAGUCC